GCGGACGGGUGAGUAAUGCCUAGGAAAUUGCCUUGAUGUGGGGGAUAACCAUUGGAAACGAUGGCUAAUACCGCAUAAUGCCUACGGGCCAAAGAGGGGGACCUUCGGGCCUCUCGCGUCAAGAUAUGCCUAGGUGGGAUUAGCUAGUUGGUGAGGUAAUGGCUCACCAAGGCGACGAUCCCUAGCUGGUCUGAGAGGAUGAUCAGCCACACUGGAACUGAGACACGGUCCAGACUCCUACGGGAGGCAGCAGUGGGGAAUAUUGCNCAAUGGGCGCAAGCCUGAUGCAGCCAUGCCGCGUGUAUGAAGAAGGCCUUCGGG
rnacentral:rRNA from 1 species